rnacentral:lncRNA from 1 species
UAUGAGGCUAACCCCAGGCCCGGCCGCUGUGCUGCAGGGUUAUCCAGUACAGGCCGGCCAGCAUUGGCCAAAGCCCCCUUGAAUAUUAGGCUGGAUAUAUAAGACUGCCCCCCUGCCCCCUGCUGCAUUGUUCAGCCUUAUUCUGCUCCCACAAUGGGACAUCACAGUUUGGAAGUAAUUUUCAAAAAGGGGAAGCCAAUCAAAAAUAAUGGCACUUAUUGUUUCUCUUUUGACACACAUUGCUGAGCGGCCUGCCCCUCCCUCUGCCGCAGCUUUCUCUGCCUGUGUCGCCCUAAACCCCGGGGUGCAUUCAUGUCCAUUAUACGGACAAAUUAAAUAAAACCCCGAAUGGGUCGGAGGGGAGCAGAGAGCCACACUGGCCGUCGUCUGCAGCGGUGUUAGGGUUAGGAGAGUUGGAGUCCGGGGAAAGGCUGGGGAGGGAAGAGGAAAGAGUGAAUUUAAGGGUAAAACUACAGAAAAGGAUUCAAAGAGAGUCAGGAGGGAAACAACUCUGAUGGAGGGGGUUGUGCAAGCAGUCUUGUUGCAGGAGGUCUUCUCUAAUUGGAUUCUUGGAGUACUGAAAAAUGUAGACCUGAUGUCGCAGCUCAUUAGCGGCAUUUAGCUUCUUGAUGGGAUAAAACAUACAUCUUGGGGAUCAUAACUGCAGAAGCAACAGAUCCUCUUUCAUCCUGGACUGUCUCAUAAACGUGCGGAUGUAUACUCUGUCACCUUGUUUGUUGGCUGUUCCUCUCCUUGGAUUGCUUGAGGCCUGCUCAAAGAGAGAAAGGUAUGUUACCGUUUACCAAAGAGGGAGGGUCUUCUCCUGGCAGGUGGUUGAGGCUCAUUGGCUCGCAGGAAUCAGCCAGAAUGUUUCACAUUUAACCGUAAAACUGGCCUCUUCUGAGUGUAGAAAAAUCAAAUUUACUUUUGCAUGGAGAAAUAAAAAAAAAAACGCUCACCAAGUCAUUCAAGAGUCGGUUAAAAACGAGAGAAGUGCAUCCAGGUCCAACCAAAGACAUGUCUGUGUAAUGGAGCUCUGUGGAUGAAGAAGUCAGGAGUGGAACAGGAAAAAAAAGAAAAAACAUCUUCAGUUUGAUAUUUUUUUAAAGGCAGGAGCUCCUGAGUACGACUGGUCUCACUGUUGGUCGUCUUAGUCUGAUAGAGUGGGGAUUCAUGCAUUGAUGUACGAUAAAAUAAACACGGCUGCAGAGAGAAUAAGUUUGCUGAUUAUACGGUUAAUAUCAUGAUUUUGAUGGUGAAACCAGACGUGUUUCAUUCAGAGCUGACUCAGUUAUUAUGAAAGUUAUCAAUCUCUAAAAGGUCAAAUUAACUGUGACGAAGAAACACAGUCUGGUGUUGCAGAAAUAAUGAGCAGGAGUGAUCUGAAACAGUUCGAGGAGACCUGCUCAUCAAUGAAAUGUUCACUUUCAUGUGAAAAUAGUAAAUAAGCAGGCUUCAAAUGUUCACGUCUUGUCCUGGUGUUUCCUGUGGUGUCCACUCCAUCAGGCUUCACCGUGGAUUCAGUGGAUUUUAGUCACUAAUUUUGAGCCCUGGGCCUGUUGCUGUAUUGUUUAUUUUUGUUUUUGGCCAAAGGAUAAUUCAGGAUUAUUAAGGUAAAAAAAUAAAUAAAACUUGCAUGCUUGAUAAGAUUUGGUGGGAUGGGUCUGAUUUGAGAGCUCUCAUGUGGAAGGGAGGGGUGGAGGCUGAGAGAGCAGCAGCAAAGUGUCGGCAGGCCAAAGCAGACAUUUGCCAAUUGGAUUUAGACCAACAAUCACUUAAUUCUUAGGCCCGGACUACACGUAUAUAGAUAUUUAUUUAUCCGGAUAUUUUUGUACUCCCGUCUAAAUAAAUGUAUCUGUCCACACGUGUUAGUUCUCAAAAAUAUCUGCGUCCACAAGUAGCCUUCAAACUCAAUCCUAUCUGGUGCCGCUUAAAAAAAAAUCAGGAACAAAGCUAACUGAUUGGCCGAUGAAUCGUAACAGCGUGAUGCGUCAUGCAUUGUUUGUGGAAGCUACGCUAGUGCGUCGGGUCCAUGUGACGGUGUGGCGGCUUUGACCCAAAACUUAGGCUUCUGGCGAACUUUAAAACGCCUAACGUUAACGUUACGAUUGAUCUCCAAUAAAAGUAUUGGGCGCAGCAGACGCCUCUGUGAGCUGGCUGACUGGUGGAUGUAAUUGUAUAAACCAAGGUUCACUUGAGAGGCUGAAAUUAGCCCCAAAAGGGCAAAACAAACGUAAAGAAUACCCUGUGUGUCCGCCAUCGUUGUUGUUGUUUUUCUUUUUAAUUCACAAGCUGCGGUUUGACGUCAUCGAUCCCUAAAAGUUCAACCACAUGAAUCCACUUAUACGGAUAUUUUUUUAUUUCUCCACUUGUUUUUCCGGAUUCAGAUUUAUCCGGUUUGAGUGUUCCAAACUCCCGUUUUGGUGUGGUAGGGAGGCCUAAUCGGACAUAAAUAUGUGCGGUUUGAAACAUAUCCACAUUCGUCUUGUUAACAGGAUUAGCUCGUCUUCCGCUGUCUAAAUCAUGAUGUUUAUUUAUGUGUCGUCGUUUGAUUUUGUAUUUCAGUGUUACAGACAUAUUUUAGUAGCCCUCUGGCUCACCAGAGUCCACACUAAAAAAAUUUGCAGAGGGGCGGAGCGAACCUUCCAGACAUUAAGCGAGAUAGAGUUUAAGAGGAACUCGAGGUUGAAGAAGAAAAGGUUGCUGAAGGAGGGAGAAAGGGCAGGUGGAGGAGGGUUCGCUCUUUGGGCUCUUUGAAAGCAGCAGAUCCUGACCGAGAGCUCGACCCCAUUUAGGAAGAGCGAGAGACAUGGAGCAGAAUGGGGAGAGAGAGAGAGAGAGAGAGAGACUCUUCACUUAAAGGUCCUCCACAGGACGUCCUCAUUCUUCCCAGAGCGCCACCUCCCCACAAACCCCCCAACUCUGGCCCAGGGGAUGAGGAAAAGCAGGGAAAAGGCCUCAUUUAGGACGAGUGGGGAGAGAGGGAGAGGGAGGACCCCCAUCAUCCUCUGAGGGGGGUCCUGAUAUCAAAACUUCCUCUCAGCAGGACGCAGAGAAAUGUCAGCAGAAGGAGAGCUUCGGUGUCUUUUAUGGUUGGAUUUGGGUAUCGAUUUAUGCUAGUAGAGGUUAUAAUCAAAACAUGUAACCUUUUCUGGAUUUUAAGAGCUGAAUUUAAAAGUGAGGGACCUCGUUUAACGGGAAGAAGAGAAGGAAGUGGAUUUUUCUUGAUCUUCAAAAUAUUCUCUAGCUAAUCUGAGUCACUUGAGUCGCGGCAGAAUUAAGCCCAUUUUUGAUUUGUAGUGUUUUUCACCAGCUUCUGUAUAAAGUCAGAUGUCAGACUGAUGAUCGAAUCACUAUCAUGAAACAAAGAGAAACUCUCUGGUUGUUGUUUUCUGGUUCGUGCUCCACAGACUUAUUUCUGAGGCGACAGCUGAAUCAGGACGCUGCUGGUCAGGCUGCGGCAGCGUCGGCUGUUUUGCACACACAGGUGUCAGCUCAGUGUGUUUAACCUCUCUAGUUGACAGUCAGCUGUUUUCUCUGCUGUUGUGCAAAAUCGGCAGAGUUGUGUGUUUGAGUGCGAGCAACACGAACUACAAGCCUGGAAAAUGACACAAAAAUAGAUGUGAACUAAAACAGAAUUAAAUAAAAUGUGAGUGUAUGUGAUGUUGAUUCUUCUUCUUCACCUUAUUGCCAUGGCUGCUUUUAUUUUAGUUAUUUCAUUUAUCAAAGUGACGAUCAUGACAGAACAUGACCGGCUUUUGAGUGAUUGUUUAAUGUGCUUAUCUGGUACUGGCCCUGGUUGUUGGUUUAUUUUCAGUUGUGUUUUGGAGUUGGUUUGUCUUUAUUUUUGCCUGUGAGGUGAUCUGAAGGGUCUUUUAUUCCUUAUUUGUAUAAUUUUCAGCAGAUAUUUUGAAACUGGACCUUUAUUCAGGUAAAGCUGUUGAGCUGUUACUGUGUGUAAAACUAAAGUCUGCAGCUCCAGAUGACUUUUACUUCAUUUAAACGCUCUUCUUAUUUGCAGAUAUCAUGUCUGAGAGGUUUAGUGUGAUACUGGGGUAUGUGUGUGUGUGCCUGUGUGCAUGUUUGUGUGUGUGUGUGUGUUUGAUCUGGCUGGGGCUGACUCUGUUCCCUCAGAGGGACUAUCAUUGCUGGUAAUCCUCUUCAUGGUCCACUAAUCUGUUUUUCCUGGGGUCACUCCAUCCCACUUCCCCCUCCCUCCUUUCCUUUCCUUUCCUUCUCUUCCUACCUCACCUCAGUUUCUUGUUCCCCUCCCUUUGCUCUGCAGUCACUCCUUUAUUGUUUCCUCCUGUCUUCGUCCGUCCCUCCCCUCAGUCUUCAGCUGUUUUAUCCCUCUUUAUCAGAACCCUUUGCUGUUUAUUAGACUAAGAAUCAAAGGUGUCAAAGGUUGAUCCUGAUCCAGACAAAAUUCCGGAUACUGUGAUCCAGAACACACAAAAUUAAGGGUGUUGUUGGAAUUUUCAAUGCUGAAAGAUAACCAAUGGGCGGCACAGUGGUGUAGAUGGGCAGCACAGUGGUGUAGUGGUUAGCACUGUCGCCUUACAGCAAGAAGGUCUUGGGUUCGAAUCCUGGUCAGGGCAUUUCUUGUUUUAGGAACAUUAUGAACAGUGAACAUACCAGUUUAAACACAAAUAAAAGUUAGUAAAAGACACGUAACAGUAAAAGUUUUGCUGUGAAUCACAAUAUAAGGGGGGACAUGAGCUGCUUGGCGGAGGUCUGCGCUCUCCGAGUGCUUUUCUAGUCGUCACUGAAGUUCUGAUAGAUGGUAUAACUGUUUUUGCAAAAACGCACGCUGUGGUCAGAGCUGACUGUAAGCAAGCAAACACAGCUGUUAAGAGUUCAGUGCGAUAAAUAAUGUCUCUGCAAGUGUUUGAAAAAAGCAGGCAGAGCAUCCAUCCAUUAGGACCUUAGGAUGUCUCUGCUCUGUUUUGAAGACAUAAAGCCUGUCUGUCUCGCACUAAUUUCAGAGCCGAACUGCCGGCUUCUUUCAGUGAUGAGAAAAUUGGUCUGUAAUUGUGAAAGUGCUCUGAGAGAGAUGCCGUUGAAAAUGACUGGCAGCCUUGUUUACAUUAUGCGCUGGAUGCUGGAUUGUCUUUUUCAUGAACUUGGAACAGAUCUGAAUGUGUAAGUGCCGUCCAGCUCAGAGAGAGUGUCUCGAGGUCGGUUCAGUCAGUGAGGGGCGCUGUCAGGACGCCGUAGCUGUGUUCGAAAUGAUGGAAUAAAUGCUCUUAAGGCUCCGGUGUGAGUGCAGGCUCGUCUGCCUGCAGCCCGGUCUGUCUAACAGACAGGAGAAACCCAUUAGCAGGGCUGUGUUAGCGAUCGUCUUGUAAACCGAGGCCCCGGGCAUUCAUUAGGCAUCAAUCAAAGGACGAGGUGUGAUGAUUAAAUGAUGAGUGCGAAUGCUUCACAGUGUUCGCUACACCAGGCCACUUUACUCUGACACUUGAAAAUGGAUGAGAGAAAGAUGUUGUUGGCCGUGUGUGCGGCUGCAGCUGGUUAAUUUAUUCAUGCAGUUAUUAAAGAAAGUGAAUCGUGGAACCUUGAAGUCAAAGCUCCAGGAUACCUUCAGCGCCGGUGCAGCAGCAGGAAUGCAGAGAGCUCACGUUGGCUUUCAGUGCUUAUUGUUUAACUGCUCUCCAUUUAGGAAUUUGCAGAUUCAAGGCUCAGAAAGGAUCAGUCGGUACGUUGCAGGUUGUGUCUUUUAGAAAAAUGUGACACCAGAAGUGAGUUUUAGAUUUGUACUGUUCGAGAAAUGUUAACAAUCCUGGAGGAAUCCACCUGUGAGAAAGUGGUUCACCGGGUUCAGGGUCAGAGGAAUGAAGAGGGAACUUUACAUGCUUUAAGUUUGAACAGCAACACUCGCACUCAGAGCCUGCAGCAGUCAAACCGGAACAUUAGCUCAAAAUCUUUAAAAGGACAGUAUCAGCCUGGUUUUUCACUAACGUUAGACCUUAUUUUACUCCUUCUGUCUUCAUCACACACAGUGGUCUAAACUAUCAGGCAGCCACAGGUGGAGAGAGGAGAGCUGGGAGGACACAGGUGUGAGUAUUAAUGUGUGUCUGUGUCUGUGUGCUCCUGCAGACAGCCUGAAGUAGGAACUCAGGGAGCUGCAGUUUCCAGCACUCCCACAUCAGCUUCAUUUCUCAAGUCUGGAGGCUGCUGGAGAUCUCUGGGAGAUAUAUGAAGAGGCGAGGGUCUCCUGUUUAAAAGAGUUUGGCUCUGUGGAAGGUCAGCACUCUUUGUUGGCUCUUUUGAGAUGUCUGUGUUUGAUGAGGCUGUCCUCCGAUCAUGACGCUCAUCCCUGAUCUUUGACUCCCAUCUUCUCUUUUUGGGUCCAGUCUUUUAAUCAUUUCGAUAGAAUCAGUGGAUGUCUGGGGGGGGCUUUUCUUUUCUACUGACACCUUUCAGAAAAUGUUAACCUGCACCGAGGACUGAUGACUGAGGGUACUUAGAUUAUUACUUAUGUUGUUGCUCUACAAACAGACAUGAAAUCCUUCUAUUUAAGGUCACCAGAUUACAAAGACAAAACCGUGUUUUAUGGCUGGGCGAUAAAACGAUAAAAUUAAUUCCACUCAGUAUCAAUAUAAAACCUGGUCAAUAUGCUUUCCAAUAGGUGGCAUUCUGACAUGUUUUGGUAGACUGUAUGAAUAGCCAAUGAAAAGGGGAGUCGCUCCAGGUCUCCGCCAGACCUCCGCCAAGCAGCUCAUGUCCCCCCUUAUAUUGUGAUUCACAGCAAAACUUUUACUGUUACGUGUCUUUUAUUAACUUUUAUUUGUGUUUAAACUGGUAUGUUCACUGUUCAUAAUGUUCCUAAAACAAGAAAUACCCUGACCAAGAUUCGAACCCAGGACCUUUUUGCUGUGAGGCGACAGUGCUAACCACUACACCACUGUGCCGCCUAUCUACACCACUGUGCCGCCCAUUGGUUAUUUUUCAACAUUGAAAAUUCCAACAACACCCUUAUUUUUGUGUGUUCUGGAUCCCAGUAUCCAGAAUUUUGUCUGGAUGUAAACAGCGAGCGCUACUGCCCCCAGCACAUCCUGUAGUGCACUGCAGUUAUAGAUGAGCAUGAGGCGCCAGCAUGUGAUUUUCAACAACAAUAACACGAUGCGUCGACGCUUGAGUUUUCUUGUCGAUGAAUUUUUCGUGUCGACGUGAUCGAUUACAUCGACUAAUUGUUGCAGCCCUACUUUGAGGUCUGUUUUCUCAGAUGUAAAGCGCAUUAUAAAUAAAAUGUGUUAUCAUUAUUAUUGUUAUUAUUAGUGUGUGAAAGGGUUGUUGGAGUGCGGUAUUAUGGUGCUUUAACCUUUAAAUAUUUACACUGAACAGUUACACACUGAGGCUCAUAAACAAUGUAAAUAGUGUUGAUUACUGUUUCAUUAUCAGCCAUGUGAAACUGCAGUCGUAUGUACUUGUUUUCUGAGCCCUCAGUGUGACACAUGUCAUAGCAUGCUGUUGUAUGUAUGUACUGUAUGAGCGCAUGUGUGUGUUGGAGCUCUGUGAGCGAGCCUGAACUCCAGUGGAGCUGACAGCUUGCUGUGACAGACAGCCUUAAACAAACCCGCUGUGUUGGCCGCUGCACAGGAGAAAUGCCUUUGAUUCUAUUAGGCCUCAGUGUGUGUGUGUGUGUGUGAGUGUGUGUGAGUGUACGAAUGUGUAAGUUGGCUUUGAAACCUCAGGACUAAUAACCCGGGGUGCUUUAAUCUGUUUCGUUAAUUUUUAAAAGAUUUAGGUUUGCUUUUAAAAUCAAUUAGAAGUCAUGAUUUAAUGCAUAAAAAUGUAUUUGGGGUCAAAUGUAAGUUUGACAAAGAGCGACUCGGUCCGUGAUGCAACAUCGACUUCCAAAAUGUACGUCAAAACUAAAGAACCAGGGAUCGUUAAGGUAAACCAAAUGGAUGCUAUGAAAAUGAAGUUUACAUUUGUGGCUAGAGAAGUUAUCAAAACUAAGCUAAAGCCAUGAUCUUAAAAUAUAGAAACUUCCAACGAAAAAUCGAGGGGGUGUCUUCCAUGUUUUUUGCUAAUGCUGGGAGAAACGCGGCAGUCACGUGAGCUAAAGUCCUCCCACAGAAAAGACUGGGCAGUCCCCAUGUUACAAUCUCAAGGCUGUUUUUGUAAAAUGUAGGUAUCACAUGUUUUGGGGUAAAACUGCGCUGGAAAGUGCACCAAUGAUUGACUGGUAGGUGACCAUGUUCUCUAACAACGCCAUUGUUUUGCUUAAUUUCUAACAGGUGCUGCUCUGCUGAAGAAACUUUGGGGACACAACCGAAAGAAGACAUUUCUUCUACGAAAGACACUCAAAACAUGCAGACAUGCAAAAUCUGCACGGCUGGUCUCUUUUCAGGCACAGGAUGUUUUGCAAAAACCACCACAUUAUAAACUAGAAAAGCACUCGGAGAGCGCAGACCUCCGCCAAGCAGCUCAUGUCCCACCUUAUAUUGUGAUUCACACCAAAACUUUUACUGUUACGUGUCUUUUAUGAACUUUUAUUUGUGUUUAAACUGGUAUGUUCACUGUUCAUAAAACAAGAAAUACCUUGACCAGGAUUCGAACCCAGGACCUUCUUGCUCUUCCACAGUGAUAAUCACUACACCACUGUACUGCCUAUCUACACCACUGUGCCGCCCAUUGGUUAUAUUUCAGCAUUGAAAAUUCCAACGACACCCUUAUUUUUGUGUGGAUCUCCAUGAUCCCAAUCAGCUGUACUACGAAGCCGGUUAUCAACUCGAUAACUGAAUCCAGGUGUGGCCACUUCAGAUCUGUGCCCGCACAUGUAAAAGAGGCGGGGUAAGCGGCACUGGACCAUUUUCCACAAUGGACAAAACGGCGAGAGCAUCGUAUUUCACAGCUGAGGAACAGGAUAUUAUCCUGCAUAAAUACGAGGAUCCAUGAUACAAUCACAGCGAGGCCGCCAGAGGGACUGCUGGCAAAAAAUCGCAGAUUGUGUCAAAGGUUAAGUCACUAUGAUGAAGAUAUGAAUGUGUCAUCACGAUGGCACGGAUAGAUGUCGCUACAUUUGUGCAUUCAGUAAUUUAUGGUCCCCAAAUGUGUUGUCAUUCACUGUUUGAUCACCAUCAUCAUCAUCGACCUCAUGAUUUCAGAUACAGAACGUCAUCUGGUAAAUCAAAUGGAUUUGAGCGAUCACGAAAAUAACAAUCCGAGCACCGACGUCCACAGGAUCCGGCCAAAGUGGGCAGGCCAUUUUCCAAGAGAACCGAUUGGUCAGUGGGCGGUCUUUAAUACCCGCUGAGCUCUUAUCCUCAAACAUAACCUGCUCCGGAGCAGGUUUGGCGUUCCGCGUAAGUUACCGGGGCAACGGACCCGGAUAAAAAGAGAUCCACCUUCAUAGUACGGAAAAUCCAGAAGUCAUCCAGAAGUUAUCUCGCUAAGACCAAAUCCAGGACAGGACAGUGGGCCUCGAGGACUGGACUUGAGAACCACGGCUUUAGACAGUGACGAAAUCCCUGUAUCGCCAUCAAAUCAAGAGAUGGGAAUAUUAUGUACCAACGCAGUGAUUUGCUCUUCAGUCCUCCUGAUCACUCCAGUCAACUUCUGGAGCUAAAACUGAUCCUGUUUCUAUUCACACCAACUGCAGAGAAAGAGGCGAGAGUGUCACAGUCUGAGCUAAAACAGAAUCUACAAGCCACUCAACCGCACAGCAUCCACCUGGUACACAGCAGCGAGAGGAAAAUCCAGUCCCUGCCAGCGUGCCAGGACAGUUUUCAACUCUCUGAGAGGGAAACACCUGACAGCUGCCACUCUGGGAGAAAAAUCCCAGAGGGCUGAAAAGAUCCUCCACAUGACGGGAAGCCAGCCGAGCGGGAGCAGAGCGGAAUACCAAACGACCAAAAAGCAUCUGGGGAAGGAGUAUGUGUCUGUUUUAGUGACUUCAACUCAUGGUCUAAAGGUCUUUGACCAUCACCUGAUCAUGUGACCAGAAGAAGAAGGGAUCACUGCUCAAACUCAGAAAAUCAAAUCAUCACAUCAGACAUCUUAAGCCUUUUUAGGUGACAGAGACCAAAUUUCUAAAGGUUUUUAUGCAACUCAUGCUCUUAUAUGAUAGUUGAAUAUUUUUACUUUUAAAGCUAAAUGAGGGAUUUCAGUUUUAUUAAAGCUCUAAACGAGAUAAAGAUUGGGUUCACUGUAACGAGUAUUUAUCAUCUUUAAAGCAUUAGAUCAUAAUGAAUUAACAUUAGAGUCAAUUUAAGUUUUGUUUUUGGUUUCCUAAUUAAAAUGUAGUUUCUGUUUUAUAGAAAUAAGGACAUGUAUUAUUAUUGUUGUUUUAAUUUGGCUGUUAUUCAUGUAUAAUAUAUCUUACACAAUUGUGAUAAGUUAAUACUGAGCUUAAACCAUUUAGAUUUACUGAACAAAUUAAAAAAGACAGCACACACACCUAAACAAACCAUAACCAAUACUACAGGGUAUAAAUAUAUACAAGUAUGAUUUGUUUGAUCUUAUCACUUAAAUGUUUUGCCAUUUGUACUUGUUCUGAUUUUAUUUCAUGUAUUGUUUAUUGACUUUUUCAAUUGGAUUAGGGCUGUCUGCAUGAACGCAUUAAUUCUGUUGUGAUACAGUCUAUAACAGCAGUUUUAAAUCAUGUGCCGUGUUUGCUCCCUCACAAAUGUAGCUUUAUCUAACAGAUAUCCUCAGGUUAGCCUGUGCUGACCUGUCUUAUGACUUAAUGUCACAUGGAACAAACUUUCACACAUGCAGGACCAAACUAGAACUCCUGACAAGUGUAAAUAAUGUCGCAUUAACCAGGAAUUACUGGACAUCAGUGACCGAGGCCCGGACUACACGUAUACAGAUAUUUAUUUAUCAGGAUAUUUUUGUUCUCCCGUCUAAAUAAAUGUAUCUGUCCACACGUGUUAGUUCUCAAAAAUAUCUGCGUCCACACGUAGCCUUCAAACUCAAUCCUAUCUGGUGCCGCUUAAAAAAUUCAGGAACAAAGCUACCUGAUUGGCCGAUGAAUCGUAACAGCAUGAUGCGUCAUGCAUUGGUUGCGAAAGCUACGCUAGUGCGUCGGGUCCAUGUGACGGUGUGGCGGCUAUAACGAAGCAGAUGCCUCUGUGAGCUGGCUGACUGGUGGAUGUAAGUGCAUAAAACAAGGUUCCCUUGAGAGGCUGAAAUUAGCCCCAAAAGGGCAAAACAAACGUAAAGAAUACCCUGUAUGUCCGCCAUCGUCGUUGUUGUUUCUUAUAUAUUUUUUUAUUUCUCCACUUGUUUUUCCGGAUUCAGAUUUAUCCGGUUUGAGUGUUCCAAACUUCCGUUUUGGUGAGGUAGGGAGGCCUAAUCGGACAUAAAUAUGUGCGGUUUGAAAUAUACCCGCAUUCGUGUAGUUGGGGCCUGAUUGGUCAUUUUCCUGUUCCUGAAUGUUUCUCAGUGUGUAACAAUCAUGAAAACAUUUGAUCCCUCUUAAGUUAAAUAUGUUUUAUGUUCAAUAAUAAGAUUAUUUCUGUUUGUUUUCUCUUAAAGCUCCUGUGAUUCACUUUCAGUCCAUGUUAAUUUUACAGACACUUCUUGCUUAUGUGCUGAUUUUGGACAGUCAAAUGUGUCAUUUAAUGUAAAUUCUUUGUGUGGAUAUUGUAAAAUAAGGCCUCUUUGUUCAGCUUCCUGGUUGACACCUACCCCCCCUUAGUACCCAUUUCAGAUACAAUAACGUACAUCAUAAAAAUGGUCAAUCUUGUAACAAAUAGUUUUAUUUGCUUUUGGAUAUAAUAAAGAUUGAUUUAUAUGAAUUUUAGCCUUUUUCAUUAAUGUCAAAAAACUUCCCACAGGAGCUUUAACUGGUUAUCCAGCGUAGUUUUCAAUGUUUAACAGCAUUAUCCUGUGAAAAUAAUAUAAUAAAGCAGCAUUUUUUUUUUGACAAAAUACAUAUUUUGAG